UCACUCAAUUUCAUCUCAAACCCACUUUACUUGUGGUUGUGUAUAGUGAUAAGAGAUAUCAACUAAAAUGAGUGGUGGGAAGGGUUCGAUUUUUUUGGCUUUCUUCUUCUUUCUCCUUGUCUCCUCCGAGUUGGCUGCAGCCAGGAAGCUAAUGGUGGCCGAAAAAAAUGCAGCGACCAUACAUGAAGACCCCACCGUUUUCAGCAGCCCCGGCACACAAAACCCCGACAUGCAAAAUUGCUAUUGUUAUGGUGAUUGCAACACUUGCCUAACCCCGGUUUGCGAUCCUUAUACACAAAACUGCCCUCCGAAGAACUGAAGUGGACACUAAGAUCAAACCCCAUGGGAACUAAAUAAACUAACCCACACCUACGUGGGUUUUGAUUACUAUCUAUCUUACCUUUGUAGUGUGUAUUGAAUCCUAUUUAUAUGGUUAUAAGUUUGGGAGAUUUGUGUUUUAUGCAGAGGAUGCGCGAUAUAAUUCGUAACUCGAUCAAUUUAUACCAUCGGUCAGUUUCUAUCUAAAAAACGUUAAUUUAUAUGUGCAAAAUUUUUUUAACAAUUGACCCACAUUCAAUUAAAUUGAUAAAAUUGUUUUUAUAUUAAUCUUUAGGACGCUUUCUUCACUUAUAACAUAAGCUCAAUACAUUCUAACAAUGACAUAUUUAGUAAACGUCCAUGGUCAUAGGUGUUAGUUCUCCACAACUUCUAGACUCUAUGGCCGAGGUGGGAUACUUCAUAGUACAUGUGUGUGUCAUGGUGUGUGUGAGUGUUGUAAGAUAAGUGUUUGAGUAUCUUCCUUUGAAAAUGAGUUUCAAAGCAUAGUGUCCAGCGACACGAGUGUGCUAAUAUUGUGUCUCGUCCCUUGAAUCGAAGGUUGGUAUAUAUUGUUGUUAUCUCGCAUGAUUUGUAGAAAUGACUCGACAUGUAUAUGGGAGGGUUCAUGUCUCAAUAAUUUUUGGGUGGAGAAAUAAUGGAGAUGUCUCAAUGAUAAAAAUUCUCAUAGGAUUAGUUCUUGACAAGCGUGCUCGAGUGAGCAACAAAGAUCAAUGAUAUUUCAAGGCUCGGGAUGACAUCACGAAGUAUCGAUGAGACUCGAAAGUUUUUGGUUAAUAACUGUAUGAGUUGAUAUGUCUUAAUAGACAUUGUAAUGCUUUGAUAAGCUCCAAAUUGCAUCAACAUGCCAUGAUAAACGUUAUGAUGUUUCAAAAAGGUUUAGUAAGUGCUAAUAUCACUCAAUAAGCUCUAGUUGAGUAGUUUUAGCCAGUUUUGACCAAACGAAGGAUCGAAAAUCAUCUCGACAAAAAACUUGAUCUAUGUAGAAGCAUGUGAGCCAUGUUGUUAAGAACUAUACUUCAAAUUUUCGGUGGUUAAGGUGUAUACGAUAGAAAUAACAUGUCCCUCAACCCUGGCCUAUAAAAACACAUUGGGAUGAGGAACCAAUCACUCAAGUUCACCUCAAACCCACCAUAGUUGUUGUUGAGUAUAGUGAUAAGAGAUAUCAACUAAAAUGAGUGGUCGGAAGGUUUCAGUUUUUUUGGCUUUCUUGCUCUUCUUUUUCCUCGUCUCCUCAGAGUUGGGUGCAGCCAGGAAGCUAAUGGUGGCCGGAAAAAAUGCAGCGGUUAAUCCCCGCACACAAGACUCCUACGACCCCUAUUGCGAUCGUUACAGUUAUAGGAGUUGCCUCCCACAGCCCUGCAAUCCUUCUGUAGAAUACUGCCCUCCCAAGAACUGAAGUGGAAACUAAGAUCAAACAUGGAAACUAAAUAAAGUAACCCACACCUACGUGGAUUUUAAUUACUAUCUAUCUUGCCUUUGUUGUGUGUAUUGAAUCCUAUGUAUAUGGUUAUAAGUUUGGGAGAUUUGUGUUUUAUGCCUAGGAUGUGCGAUAUGAUAUAAUUCGUAACUCGUAACUCGAUCAAUUUAUACCACAUGUUAGAUUUUAUCUU